rnacentral:lncRNA from 1 species
GUCCGACAUGGAAUCUAUGUUUUGAUUUGUUUAGUAUUUUAUUUUUUUUAAAUUCUUUUUUUAGUUAAGUUAGAAUUUUUACACUAUAAAUAAGGCCCUUGACUAUUAUUGUAAUUAGUUUAUUUUGAAGAUUAUUGAAUCAAAACUCAUGAGAAGAGAGUUUCUUCUUCUUUUCUCUAUCUUUCUUUAUUUCGUGCAUCUUUCAUCCUUCUUUCCCAAUGAUCGUCAUGCUAUAGGCUGCA